rnacentral:rRNA from 1 species
UUAACAGCUUACUGGCCGAAUGUGAUCUUGCGCGGACAAUGUAUGGGGGCUAAAGCACGUUCCCGAAGCUUCGGGAUUUAUGAUUAGAUUCAUAGAUCGGUAGGGGAGCGUCGUGUUCAGCAGUGAAGCUAUAGCGGAAGCAAUGGUGGAGCGGACACGAGUGAGAAUGCAGGCAUGAGUAGCGAUAAGACAGGUGAGAAUCCUGUCCGCCGAAAACCCAAGGUUUCUCCGGCUAUGUUCGUCAGACGGAGGUUAGGCGGCCCCUAAGGUGAGGCCAGAAGGCGUAGCCGAUGGACAUCCAGUAGACGUUCUGGACCCGGGUUUAUCAGCCAUGGGAGGACGCUUCUCGAUAUUCCAUCCCGCACUGUUGGUAGUUGCGGGCUAGGCAAAGGUUUGGCUAGUUGAAAGACUAGCGUAAUGACUAAUGCCGGGGAAGGGAACUCUUCGGAGUGAACGAACUGGAAUUGAGGGGGGCCGAGAAAAGCCCCACAGCAUUAAUGAUAAAUUCGACCGUACUGUAAACCGACACAGGUGGGUGAGUCGAGGAGACUAAGGCGUUCGAGAGAACUCUCGUUAAGGAACUAGGCAAAUGAGCCCCGUAACUUCGGGAUAAGGGGCGCCAGCGCAAGCUGGCCGCAGCGAAGCAGCCCAGGCGACUGUUUACCAAAAACACAGGUCUCUGCUAACACGAAAGUGGAUGUAUAGGGGCUGACGCCUGCCCAAUGCCAGUAGGUUAACAGGAGAUGUCAGGAGUAAUCCGAAGCAUUGAAUCGAAGCCCUGGUGAAUGGCGGCCGUAACUCUAACGGUCCUAAGGUAGCGAAAUUCCUUGUCGGCUAAAUACCGACCCGCAUGAAAGGCGUAACGACUUGGGCACUGUCUCAACGAGAAGCUCGGUGAAAUUGUAGCACCCGUGAAGAUGCGGGUUACGCGCAGUAGGACGGAAAGACCCCGUGGAGCUUUACUACACCCUGUCACUGCGAAUUGGGUGUAGAUGUAGAGAGUAGGUGGGAGCUUAGGCACCAAUGGAACACCACCCUUCUACAUCUGGUUCGCUAACCGUCACCAUUAUCUGGUGACGAGACAAUGACAGGCGGGUAGUUUGACUGGGGCGGUCGCCUCCCAAAAGGUAACGGAGGCGCCUAAAGUUGCACUCAGGCUGGUUGGAAAUCAGCCGUCGAGCGUAUAGGUAUAUAGUGCGAUUGACUGCGAGACAAACAGGUCGAGCAGGGACGAAAGUCGAGCUAAGUGACCCUCUGGUGGUGCGUGGGCACGCCAGGGUUCAUCGGAUAUAAGCUACCCCGGGGAUAACAGGCUGAUCUUGCCCGAGCGCUCACAGCGACGGCAUGGUUUGGCACCUCGAUGUCGGCUCGUCUCAUCCUGGGGCUGUACACGGUCCCAAGGGUUCCGGAGUUCACGGAUUAAAGAGGCACGCGAGCUGGGUUCAGAACGGCGUGAGCCAGUUCGGUCCCUAUCCACUGCGCGCGGAGGAAAUUUGAGAGGACUCGCUCCUAGUACGAGAGGACCGGAGUGAACCGACCUCUGGUGUACCUGUUGUGCCGCCAGGCGCAUACGCAGGGUAGCCACGUCGGGUCGUGAUAAGCGCUGAAAGCAUCUAAGCGCCAAGCACACCUCAAGAUGAGAUUUCCCAUCGAAAGAGUAAGGCCCCCGGAAGACUACCGGGUUGAUAGGUCGCAGGUGUGAGCGCAGUAAUGUGUUAAGCUGAGCGAUACUAAUUGGCCGAGGGCGAA